CCCUACAAAAUAAUGGGGCACGUUUACCACAACUGACAGCUCAAGGGCCAUCCCUGGCUAGACAGUCUACUCUGGGACGUUUCUUAUCACGAAAACACCAAGGAAAAGAUAGAUCGUUGAUAGUGUGAGCACUUACAGAACUACAAGCUCAUCCGUGAUUUCUGCAACAACAGACCCUCACCUCGCACCGAACAGCCAAUCACGGCGCUUGAAUUCAGCUCCGUCUGACGUCGACGAUCAUUCUCAGCCCCACCUCUCCCAAAGAAAAUGAACAGGGGAUCUUAGCUGACGUCAAAUUGCCAACGCGUGAUUGGCCAGGACGGAGAAUUCUCCCAGCCAAUGGCCGAACGCAGUGGUGAUGUCAUCACGCAUGUUGCCACCAGCUGGACGAAGGGGGCGUGGUCUGUCGUAAACUCCGCUCACCAGUGUUUACUGCAAGUACGGUAGUACGAGAGAGUCAGGCUGCAUGGAAGAGUGGCGUGCCGAACCUCUGUAGUACUAUGGCAGUCACAGACAGACAGUAGGACAACGACUACAACGGACUUCUAGCCUACAGCACACUGGCAGAUUUUCUGAAAAACUAUAUGAAUAACAUUUUUGUAGCCUACUGUUCUGGAGAUUUUUCUGCAAUACCUUUGAAAGAUACAUUUGGUUUGAGGUCUUUACCAUUUACUCUUUUUUUCCAGGCUGUGCAAGCCAACAAAGACAGUUACAUAGUACACAUUACAUAAUCCUUAUUUCUCUUGUAGUAGACAGACAAACAGACUCACGCAGAGACAGACAGCUUGGGCAGAAGCCUCUCACAGCGAGUCCUCGCUGUCGGUGUCCCCCUGUUGGUGUUCCCUCACAUGCCAUAUGUAAACGAUUAAAAGAUGAAAAUAG